UAGGGAAUCUUCGGCAAUGGACGAAAGUCUGACCGAGCAACGCCGCGUGAGUGAAGAAGGUUUUCGGAUCGUAAAACUCUGUUGUUAGAGAAGAACAAGGACGUUAGUAACUGAACGUCCCCUGACGGUAUCUAACCAGAAAGCCACGGCUAACUACGUGCCCGCAGCCGCGGUAAUACGUAGGUGGCAAGCGUUGUCCGGAUUUAUUGGGCGUAAAGCGAGCGCAGGCGGUUUCUUAAGUCUGAUGUGAAAGCCCCCGGCUCAACCGGGGAGGGUCAUUGGAAACUGGGAGACUUGGGUGCAGAAGAGGAGAGUGGAAUUCCAUGUGUGGCGGUGAAAUGCGUAGAUAUAUGGAGGAACACCAGUGGCGAGGGAGGCUCUCUGGUCUGUAACUGACGCUGAGGCUCGAAAGCGUGGGGAGCAAACAGG
rnacentral:rRNA from 1 species